rnacentral:tRNA from 1 species
AUCAGGAUCUGCUACAAAAGCAAUUGGGCCCAUACCCCAAAAACGGUAGAUAGCCUACCUCCUGACA